AAAAAAGUGAAACUCUUUUGGUUUCUCUUGAUUAAUUUUCUUUUUUCUUUUCAAAUUCUAAUUAAACCAUUAAUUUUUAGUGAAUUAAUUUCCAUGUGUCGAUAAAUUAUCAUCUGAAUUACCUGGUGCACCAUUUAUAACAUUGGAAAAUGAAUAAAAGGUUGACUGAUGAUUAAAAAGGUAAAAGAUGUAUUCCCAGGUUACCAUUGGAAAUUUCAAUGACUAUAAAUCUAAGUGAUGAUGAUAAUGGUAAAAAUGGUGAUAAUGAAAAAAACACAGAGAGGGAAAGUACGAGGUAUAAAUAACAUGGAUGGUUGAAUAUAAUCUAUUGAGAUAAAGGAACAAGUAAAAGAAAAAGAAUAAACCAAAAAGAUGUAUCCAAGGUGUAGAAAAAGGUUAAUCAAUGAAGUUCGAACAAAGGAAAAAAAAUGAGGAGAUAAAGUCAAAGACAGUGGAACAAGAAAGAGAGACCCCUCAGUGGUCAUUCUAAGUUUUUUAACAAAGUGGCCCAAAGGGAAUUUAAGGGCAACACAACAACAACAACAACAACAUCAGAUACAAAUCUACAAGGAGCAAGUUACUAAAUCCAGAAGAUAAUCUACAUUAACCGAUAAUGGAAAGUCCAAUACAAAAGAAAAGGGAAAUAUGGACAUGGUGGAACAAGAUUUAUGGAUCUGGUUCAUUAUUAUCAUCAUUAUUAACAUGAUGUUGUGUUGUUGAUAAUGUUUUUCUGAUAAUUAUGAUGAUAAACUGACUCAGUUUUACUGUUGAACACAUUGGAAAUCAACCUUAAAAUCUCUUGACAUCUCAAUCUAACUCUCUAAAGGUCAUAAAAAUUAGAAAUAAUGAAAAAUUAGUAAACCUUAACAACAGGAUCAACCUAAUGGAACUUACACGAAUUUAAUACUUUUUCCAAGAGCUAAUUAACUCCUCUAUUCUAACGGACACGACUGACCUGAGGAGAGAAGUAAAGAAAAUAAUCUAACAACAUGAAAAUGGUGAAGAUUAAGUAUCAAGGAAAAAAGAUUCAGAGAUUAAAGGUCACUUUGCAAUGUUGGUCAUUUUUUAUUCUGAUUAUCAUCACAAGAGUUAAAAAUCAGAUGAAUUUGAUGAUUGUUACAAACCUGGACCAAUGGUCAAUUGAAGACUCUACAUUGACCAAUCGAAAGUGACCUCAUUGAUACACUAUUUAUAUAUGUACAUGGACCAAUAAUUUGCCGAGUACUUGUUCAUUAAAAGUGACCCAAAGAAAGUGACCACAAGGAAGGAUAAAACUAAAGCAUAAUAAUUACAUGUAACAUUUCAACAUGAUUACCAUUGUAGUGAACAUUAAUUUUUGACAUUGAAUUGGAUUAACUUUGCAAGAGCUAAAAAAUGAUGGUGAUUUAAUCAUGAAAAGUAAAGGUAAUUGCAAGAAAAAAAAAUUUUGACGGAGAAACUAAUUGAAGGUUGGGAUUACCAUUGUAACAAUUUACCUGGAAACUUAAUAGCUGACUGUUUGUCAACAAUUGUAUUAAUAAUAAUAUGUAUAUUGUACCAUCCACAAGAUUGUAUAUAUUAACUUACAUACGAUUGACCAGUUAACCAAGUUGAUUAAUAUUGUGGAAGAAAAAAAAUUUAAUGAUCAACCAAUCGUUCCAAUAAUACUAAUCAUCAUAUAAAUGAUUAGAUCUGUCAUAUUAUCGUCAUCUCAUAAUCAUUGGUUAUAUUAUCAAUAUUUUCUGAUCUUAAUCUACUCAUUUUGAUCUGACAAUCAAAAAUAUGAUUUAGCCAACCAAGCUACUGGAUUUUAUAAUCAUCACCAUCAAAAUUAAAUACUACUCUUGAUUGUUAA